CGGUGAAUACGUUCCCGGGCCUUGUACACACCGCCCGUCAAGCCAUGGGAGCUGAGGGUACCUGAAGUAGGCCUAAGAAACCUCCGAGGGUAAAAUCAGUGACUGGGGCU
rnacentral:rRNA from 1 species